rnacentral:tRNA from 1 species
AAAUCAAUUGGUUAAUGAUUCUGAAUAACCCAACUAAAAAGCUAGAAAAUUCAAAAUUCUAUAUUUUGUAUAUUUGAAUUUU